rnacentral:ncRNA from 1 species
GCAUAAACCAGUUACAGCAAUUGAUGGAUGCCUUGGCGUCAUCAGGCGACGAAGGACGCAGCAAGCUGCGAUAAGCUUCGGGGAGCGGCACGCACGCUUUGAUCCGGAGAUUUCCGAAUGGGGCAACCCAGUGCAGGUAAUUCUGCAUUACUCCUGUCUGAAUACAUAGGACAGGUAGAGCAAUACGUGGAGAAGUGAAACAUCUCAGUAUCCACUGGAAAAGAAAGAGAAUCGAUUCCGUUAGUAGUGGCGAGCGAACGCGGAUCAGCCCAAACCAUCGGGAUUUAUCCUGGUGGGGUUGUA